GCGAUGGAGCCACACAUUGGCAUCAAACACCGGAGACAAUUCAGGAGCUCAUGAUAAUCAUUAUCUAAGGCUAAUGCUACCUUGAUUGCUUGCAUGGUUGAAGUUACACUGCAAAUGAUCAGUUCAAAUCUAAGAUCAUUUAAACACCAUCAUUUCAUUGUGGAAUGGGAGUGGGACUCGUGCAAAUGAGAUGAAAGGGCCUAGCAGCAAACAUGCCAUUGUGGUACACUUGUGGGAGACUGAGCAAGACAGCUGGUGGUUGAACCAAAAAUCAGGCCAGUCUGCUUAUUAGGAUUAGAGAUAUGUUUAAGGAUGAAAGUGGUUAUUGAAGGAGGGAAUUCUUGGCUAUUACAAAUGAUGUGGACAUUUUCUUGGCCUUUGGAAAGUGCAUUCUUGCUUCAAAGCCGAGCCCUAUUUUGAAUGAGUUAAGCUGAUGAUAAACAAAAACUAUGCCAUGAUGUUGGUGAGCUACAUUAGGCAUCCAUCUCUCACUUCUCAUAUUAAAGGAACGGGCCAAAAGGAGAGAAGUGAUGACUGACUGAUGAUAGCAAGCAUUCCCACAAUGGAGAAUGACCAUAGAAAGAUCUUUCCACAUUGAGGAAAGAUCUCUCGACUUGCAUUAGGAAGUGGACACUUAAAAUGCCUAAGAUGAGAAGCAACAAUAGCUGGUGAAUGCCAGCACUCAAAGAAUUGAAUCAUCUACGAACAAGCCUAUGGGAUAUCCUUGGCGACCAUCUAUCUUAUGGACAUGUCUUUGUGGAUCUGUCUCGCCUAUGUCCUUUGGGAAGUUGAGUACAGUCUAUGAUCCAUAGAUACUUUUGGAGAGCUAACAUAUCCAUAUCAAGUUGAAAGACACACAAUUGCUACAAACCUUACCACAUAAGUGGCAAUAAACGAGAGUGGCGAGCUGCUGCUAGUUCACAAGAUUCUUCUGUCAGUUAUAAAUGGAGGGUUAGAGAGCACUGAUUGUCUUGCAGGCACCUGACUUGUCAGUGACAUUGAAUUUGUAAUCUUUCUUUUCCAUGGAGUUGAUGUUUACAAAUGUUAAAUUAAGCCAAAUGCGAAUGUAGACCAUGUGUAAUUUGUAGGUGGAUCGGAUGAUGUUUACCUUUCCAUAAACUUCUUCUUUUUCUUCCAAAUCUAUAGAUAUGGACAUACCAAUUUGACUAGGACGAAAGUAAUAGUUAAAUUUGUGAAUGCGGUGCCAUGGG